GACGAACGCUGGCGGCGUGCUUAACACAUGCAAGUCGAACGGAAAGGCCUGUCCUUCCUUGUGUUGGACGGGUACUCGAGUGGCGAACGGGUGAGUAACACGUGAGUGAUCUGCCCCCAACUUGGGUAUAAGCCUGGGAAACUGGGUCUAAUUCCCGAUAGGACUGCAGGGUGGUGCCUGUGGUGGAAAACGAUUUUCUAGUGGUUGGGGAUGAGCUCGCGGCCUAUCAGCUUGUUGGUGGGGUAAUGGCCUACCAAGGCGGCGACGGGUAGCCGGCCUGAGAGGGUGGACGGCCACAUUGGGACUGAGAUACGGCUCAGACUCCUACGGGAGGCAGCAGUGGGGAAUAUUGCACAAUGGGCGGAAGCCUGAUGCAGCGACGCCGCGUGGGGGAUGACGGCCUUCGGGUUGUAAACUCCUUUCGACCGCGAGGAAGCCGCCUGGUUGGAAGGGUGGUGACGGUAGUGGUAGAAGAAGCACCGGCUAACUACGUG
rnacentral:rRNA from 1 species